GAGUUUGAUCCUGGCUCAGGAUAAACGCUGGCGGCGUGCCUAACCCAUGCAAGUCGAACGGUCCCGCAAGGGAUAGUGGCGGACGGGUGAGUAACACGUAGAAAUCUGCCUCGCCGGAGGGAAUAACUCCUCGAAAGAAGAGCUAAUACCCAAAAGGAUCCGCAAGGAUCAGAGUCCGCAAGGGCCUGGCGAGAGGAGUCUGCGGCCCAUCAGCUUGUUGGUGGGGUAAUGGCCUACCAAGGCUACGACGGGUAGGGGGCCUGAGAGGAUGUCCCCCCACACUGGAACUGAAACACGGUCCAGACACCUACGGGUGACAGCAGGGAGGAAUAUUGGACAAUGGGGGAAACCCUGAUCCAGCAACGCCGCGUGAGGGAUGAANGUCUUCGGGCUGUAAACCUCUUUUCAG
rnacentral:rRNA from 1 species